rnacentral:rRNA from 1 species
UGAGGAAUUUUGCGCAAUGGGGGAAACCCUGACGCAGCAACGCCGCGUGAGUGAUGAAGGCUUUUGGGUCGUAAAGCUCUGUCAAGUGGGAAGAACCCACAUGGUGUUAAUACCACCAUGUGUUGACGGUACCACUGAAGGAAGCACCGGCUAACUCCGUGCCAGCAGCCGCGGUAAUACGGGGGGUGCAAGCGUUAUUCGGAAUUACUGGGCGUAAAGAGCGCGUGGGCGGUCCUAUAAGUCAGCUGUGAAAGCCCGGGGCUUAACCCCGGAAGUGCACUUGAAACUAUAGGACUUGAGUAUGGGAGAGGGAAGUGGAAUUCCUGGUGUAGCGGUGAAAUGCGUAGAUAUCAGGAGGAACAUCGGUGGCGAAGGCGACUUCCUGGACCAAUACUGACGCUGAGGCGCGAAGGCGUGGGGAGCAAACAGGAUUAGAUACCCUGGUAGUCCACGCAGUAAACGGUGAUCACUAGGUGUAGCGGGUAUUGACCCCUGCUGUGCCGCAGCAAACGCGUUAAGUGAUCCGCCUGGGGAGUACGACCGCAAGGUUA